rnacentral:tRNA from 1 species
GCGCGCCGCGCCCGAGCGGCAGGGUAUCCGAUUCUUGAUCGGAGGUGUCCGGGUUCGAGUCCCGGGGCGUGCA